rnacentral:misc_RNA from 1 species
GGAGGAGGAGGAGGAUGUAAAAUCCUCUCCGAGAGGAGGUCCAGAAGACUGCUCAAUUAGCUUAGAAUCUGAGACACUUUCCAAGGAUAGCACUUCAAAUAGCUUAGAAUCUGAAACAGCUUCCAGGGCCAGCACUUCAGGCUCAGAAGGCCAACUAAAUCCAUUAGUUGCUACUCAUUGGCGUGACUUCUUUCGUGGACUGAAGAAGGGAGCAGCAAGACGCAUUCAAACCUUCCCUCCUCCUAAAAAACAUGGCCCCAGGCUCACCAGAAGUAAAACCAAAAGAAUUAGGGAGGAAUUGAUUCCAGUUAUAAGUUCUCCUCUGGAUACUGAUCUCUACUGUCUGAAAUCUUCUUGGAAGAACUUUACACUCUCAGAAAUCAAAACUGCAACCAACAAUUUCAGUCAUGAAAAUUUGAUUGGAGAAGGAGGCUACGCUGAAGUUUACAAGGGACAAUUAAAAGAUGGGCAGCUUGUUGCGAUAAAAAGGCUGACCAGAGGUUCCCCAGAAGAGAUGACCGUUGAUUUCUUAUCGGAGCUUGGGAUGAUGGUUCAUGUUGACCAUCCCAAUAUUGCCAAAGUGAUUGGCUAUGGGGUUGAAGGAGGGAUGCAUCUUGUGCUUCAAUUGUCUGCUCAUGGGAGCCUUGCAUCCAUACUUUACGGCCCAAAGGAAAAACUGGACUGGGGAAUGAGGUACAAAAUUGCUACAGGAACUGCUGACGGCCUUCAAUAUCUGCACGAAGGCUGCCAAAGGAGAAUUAUCCACAAGGAUAUCAAGGCUUCUAAUAUAUUGCUUUCCGAGGAAUUUGAUCCUCAGAUUUCUGAUUUUGGUCUUGCAAAGUGGUUACCGGAGCACUGGACUCAUCACACUGUAUCCAAAGUUGAAGGGACAUUUGGGUUUGUAAUCCGAAACUUCACUUAGUCUAUGAAUCAUCUUCUACCCUACUAUUUAAUCUCAUUUCCUAUCAUCAUGACAGUUACCUUCCUCCUGAGUUCUUCAUGCAUGGCAUAGUGGACGAAAAGACAGAUGUUUAUGCUUAUGGGGUAUUACUAUUAGAGCUUAUUACUGGAAAGCAAGCAAUAGAUAGUUCUCAGCAAAGCCUAGUGUUGUGGGCGAAACCUCUGCUUAUGAAGAACAGUAUCAAGAAGCUUGUCGACCCAACUCUUGUAGAUGCCUAUGAUAAGGAACAGAUGGAAGUUUUGACCUUUUUAGCUUCUUCCUGUAUACAUCAAUCGUCAAUGCAACGACCUCAAAUGAACCAGAUUGUAGAGAUUCUAAAAGGAAAUAAAGAUGCUUUGGAAGAGAUAAAAGAGCUCCAGAAGUCUAUACACCAAAGGACAUACUCCGAGGAGCUCUUUGAUGCAGACGAAUACAACUCAACAAAGUAUCUAAACGAUAUGAAUAAACACAUGGAGAUUGUUUUGGGCCAAUGUGAUAGUCCCAAGAUUGCAGAAGAACUGUAGAUCCCAAACUGAAAGUUAAAACCAUGUAAUAUUCCAUGUAUCUGGGUUCCUGAUCUUGCUCCUACAAGCGAAACAUUGAGCUAAAUCUCACUAAGAUGGAGCCAAUACCACAGGACUAGAACAGUUUUGAAGAGGCUAAAACCGUGUAUUAAAAGAGCAGAAAGAACAAUGCACUGCGGACAGACCAAUUGAUGCAAAAGCAAUUUGGACAGUAUAGGAUAUUUGUUUUGCUAUGAAGUUGAGUAUAAAAGCAUAAUCUUGUAAUAGACAUUUUUAUUUUCCAUUUUCAAUCUAUGUGAAGAAAACCAGGAUAUAUCUUUUCUUCCAUGGUUCUCAUGAAUCUGCUGGCGGCUUUGCCUUGUAUUUCAUGUUAUUUUUCAGAUUUUAAUAGGGAGGUACACAUUUCCUGUUUUAAGAAUUGAAAAUUACUA